UAUUCAUUGCACGUUUAUUUUGUUACGAAAGACGUUCAUAGAAUAUACGUUUGGCACAACUUCGAAUGUCAAAGGAACAUGGACAUACAUCGGACAUCCACAGGACAUCCACAAAAUAUAUUGAGUCUCCAAGCUGCGAAAGAAACCGAGGAGAGUUCCAUAAAAAGCGCGACUAGGCAAUCUCCGAUCGCUCAAGCCGCAAAUGUUACGUCUCCGGCCGUUUCUAGGCUAGACAACGCGAUUUCCGACGAUAAAGCCGACGGUAAAGCCGAGGGCAAGAGCAAGGCGGAAUUGCGUGCGGAACGAAGAGCUAAGCAGGAGGCUCAGAGAGCGGCGAAGCAGCUUCAACAAAUCUCAGCAAAGCAGCAACUAUCCUCAACGAAGAGCAACGAAAGGAGCCAAGAAACUCCUUCAGAAAAACUGCGUGCACAGCAAGUGGUUGUCGAAGCUGUGAGUGUAAAAAAAAUUGUGAAGAAAAGUAAUGACCACCAGGUGAACCUGUUCCAGCACCUAUAUAAUGAAAGGGAGCUCUCUUUGGCCAGCGUGCCCAUCAAUUCGAAUAUUCAUCCGGCAAUCAUAGGUUUGGGCGCGCAGUACACGGGCAGAACAAUCGUCGGCAGCAAUGCGAGGUGUGUUGCGCUAUUGGCAGCUGUCAAGCAGGUAAUCCUGGAUUUUGAGAAGCCGGAACAGGCUGACUUCACUCGUAGCCUCGAGAUAUGUCUGCGGGAUUUGCUCGCGUACCUACAUCGUUGUCGGCCGGUGGCUGUUUCAAUGCAAAACGCAAUGCGUCAUCUCAAGUGGCACAUGACGAAUUUCUCGGUCACUAUGUCGACAUGUGAGGCGAAAACCAAGCUAACAGGUAUAAUAGACACCUACAUAAUGGAACAAAUUCAACUGGCUGGCAAAGCAAUAUCCAUAACUAUUCAGACUAAGAUAUCAAACGGAAAUAUCAUUUUAAUUUACGGAUUCUCAUCCUUAAUCUAUAAUAUAUUAGUGGAUGCACAUGCUGCGGGUAAACAAUUCCGCGUUAUCGUAGUCGACGGCAGACCGUGGCUAGAAGGAAGAGAACAAUUGAAACGUUUAGCGAAACAUGGAAUCAAUUGUUCAUAUAUGUUCAUCAACGCUGUGAGCUUCAUUAUGUCAGAAGUUAGCAAAGUCUUUCUUAGUGCUCACGCAAUAUUGGCCAAUGGCGCGGUGAUGUCGCGAGUCGGAACUUCGCAAAUCGCUUUGAUAGCCAAAGCCUUCAACGUACCGGUUUUAGUAGCGUGUGAGACGCAUAAGACAUGUGGACGAGUGCAGACUGAUUCCAUCGUGUAUAAUGAACUUGGAGAAUAUAAUUUGGAUUAGGCAAAACUGAUUCAUCCUACUGCACUUUGGAACUAGUUUGGCCUAGACGAAACUAGUUUAUCCUGAAAUCGGGUUUGGCCGGGAAUGCGGAUGAUCUCGUAACUUCGAAUCAAUAUGGUAAUUCGAGAAAGUCUCUGUUCACCAACUGGCGGGCGAGAAAGUCGCUGAAUCUCUUAAACAUCACAUAUGACGUAACACCAGCCGAUCUCAUUACUGCUGUCGUCACGGAAUUGGCCAUUCUGCCAUGCACCAGUAUUCCUGUG
rnacentral:misc_RNA from 1 species